GACGAACGCUGGCGGCGUGCCUAAUACAUGCAAGUCGAACGCUUCUUUCCUCCCGAGUGCUUGCACUCAAUUGGAAAGAGGAGUGGCGGACGGGUGAGUAACACGUGGGUAACCUACCCAUCAGAGGGGGAUAACACUUGGAAACAGGUGCUAAUACCGCAUAACAGUUUAUGCCGCAUGGCAUAAGAGUGAAAGGCGCUUUCGGGUGUCGCUGAUGGAUGGACCCGCGGUGCAUUAGCUAGUUGGUGAGGUAACGGCUCACCAAGGCCACGAUGCAUAGCCGACCUGAGAGGGUGAUCGGCCACACUGGGACUGAGACACGGCCCAGACUCCUACGGGAGGCAGCAGUAGGGAAUCUUCGGCAAUGGACGAAAGUCUGACCGAGCAACGCCGCGUGAGUGAAGAAGGUUUUCGGAUCGUAAAACUCUGUUGUUAGAGAAGAACAAGGACGUUAGUAACUGAACGUCCCCUGACGGUAUCUAACCAGAAAGCCACGGCGAACUACGU
rnacentral:rRNA from 1 species